UUUAACUGAAGAGUUUGAUCAUGGCUCAGAUUGAACGCUGGCGGCAGGCUUAACACAUGCAAGUCGAGCGGGGGAAGGUAGCUUGCUACUGGACCUAGCGGCGGACGGGUGAGUAAUGCUUAGGAAUCUGCCUAUUAGUGGGGGACAACAUCUCGAAAGGGAUGCUAAUACCGCAUACGUCCUACGGGAGAAAGCAGGGGAUCUUCGGACCUUGCGCUAAUAGAUGAGCCUAAGUCGGAUUAGCUAGUUGGUGGGGUAAAGGCCUACCAAGGCGACGAUCUGUAGCGGGUCUGAGAGGAUGAUCCGCCACACUGGGACUGAGACACGGCCCAGACUCCUACGGGAGGCAGCAGUGGGGAAUAUUGGACAAUGGGGGGAACCCUGAU
rnacentral:rRNA from 1 species